GACAGAGGAGCCAAGCGUUGUCCGGAUUGACUGGGCGUAAAGCGCACGCAGGCGGAACGGCGCGUGGGGUGUGAAAGCUGGCGGCUUAACUGCCAGUCGCAUCCCAUACGGCCCAUUCUGGAGCCUUGCAGAGGGCAGUGGGAAUUGCCGGGUGUAGUGGGUGAAAAUGCGUAGAGAUCGGCAGGGAACACCCCAGGGGGAAACCGAGCUGGCCCUGGGCAAGCCGGC
rnacentral:rRNA from 1 species